AUUCAAGCUGGUCUUUUAGCUGUGCCGAGCUUUAGUACUGCUUUUAGACUCCUGAAGAGCUGGAGGUGUAAAACUUAGAUGUGAGUUCACCACCAGUUUUGUAGUGCCUGUCACAAUGUUGAUAGUGAUACACGAUGGAGAAUCAGCAAGGGAAAGGCAAAAUACCAAGAGUUUCAUGUCCAGAAAUUGUGAAGUCAUGGGGCAUAAUGGCUAUGGCAAAAAAGAUCGUUUCAUUAGGUUAUCUCUUGUUUUAGGCUCUGGAAAUCUCUGGAAUUGCUGUCAGGGAGAGCUUUCUGUGGCUUCUCCCUCUGUCUCUACCUGGCACAUGGUACAGUUGAGAAAUGACGGUUCUUAUGCUAACUCUGCUUCCCAAAACAUCAUCCCUGUGGUUGUUAUUACACCAGAAACCAUCCAUCUUGCUGCUGGUUCAUACCCCAGCAGUACCCGGGGAGCUGCUGGGCCAGGCACUGUGUGAAGAGCAUGAAAAGAGAUCUGCUGCCCUAAGGAGCUGGAGAGAUAUCCCUGGGUAAGCUGAGCAUCUGCUGCUGCUUGGUGGAAAGCUGCAUCCCCAGCAUGAGUUUGCCAUGGAUAUCCAAGGGUACCACCCUUCCUAGGAGAGCAGAAGGAAGCCUUGGUUCCUGCAUUACCUGGCAGCAGCAAGUCCCCUGCAUGCAGAUACUGGCAUGGGGGACGUGGAACCUCUGUGGGGAUGGCCAUAACCAUCACCUCUGCCUUCUGCUGUGCUGCUGUGAGACCAAUGUGUGGUGAAGCCGACUCUUGUGCAGUCAUACUGGUUGUCCCCUGCAGUCCUGGUGGCUUCCUGUUCUCUUUGCUAACCAAGGCAACAGGGUCCCACCAGUCUGGUCCUUGCUUUUCCUGCCCGCUGCUGUGGUGCUAGGUUUGACAGCCACACUUCUUUUUCCUCAUACGAUCUCAUUAUCUCUCUUAGUCUCUGCUCUUCCUUCUGGCUCCAAUAAACCCCUCCUUGCAACAUUCUCUGUUUCCCA
rnacentral:lncRNA from 1 species